AAAAAAAACAAACCCUGUUUUACGUGCCCAACGUUUGACCGUCCGUCUUAUUUGAAAAAAGUAUAAAAAAAAUAAAAAGACAAGUCAUGUAUAAAAUAUUAAUCAUGUUUUAUCAUCUAACAACAAUGAAAAUAUGAAUUAUAAAAAAAAUCAUAUAAGAUGGACAGUCGAAGUUAGACAUGGAAACCCAGGGUUUGCCUUUUU
rfam:Oryza glaberrima chromosome 1 Oglab01_0186_25, whole genome shotgun sequence.